GGAAGGAUCAUUACCACAUUCCUCGGUCUGUUCGCCUUGGAUAACGUGGAACCACAUCGCCGCAGCGGGCGAUCCGUCUUGUUCGAACGGAUCGCUAUCCCAAACGCUGUACAAAACGGCUGUCGGAGACUGAAUCUCGGGCAGACCGAUGCGGGCUGUAGGGAUUAAACCGGACUUGCAACCGGCAGAGAUCCCAAUGUUUGGCCCGGUAACCUCCCGAGGGGGUGUCACUGUCAUCGGAGUGUGGCAAUGCGGUGUGCAAACUCGCUGCGCAUCCGCAGCUCCGGUGCUGACUUAAAUUCUCUAGCACGAGGCCGUUUGACCGUGCCUGGUCGUCAGGAAUAUGCUGUUCCGGUGGGCCGUGUGUUCGCACAAGUGCUUAGAGGCCCUCACCAACCUGUCGUAGCGAGUAUGUGCUAAUGCAUACUCACCAACAUAAACCAUAGACUCUCUGGGCAGUGGAUCACUCGGCUCGAGGAUCGAUGAAGACCGCAGCCAUUUGCGAUAUCUAAUGUGAAUUGCAGGGCAUUCGGAACAUCGAAACGUUGAACGCACAUUGCGGCUAGUGAAUUCUUUCGCUAGCCAUGUCUGUCUGAGGGUCGAUUUACUCUGCUAUUGUGCACAUGAACCGUCGUUCGACGCACACUCUGGGGCUAGUACUUUCGAGGCGCCGCGACGGCUUUGAGGGUACGGUUCUUAAAUACAAGAGAAGUUGUCGUUUCCAAAAGAACCGUUCGACCGAAGCCUACCACGCUGGACGUAUCCACUCGAUGUGCGAGAUACGAUCCAACCGUGGGGCUUCGGAUAUUUUUUUGGAAAACUUUUGUACAGCUUUCAAUGAACAGCCAAAGCAGCCAGCCUGUGCGUAUCCGGCGUACAGUCAUCGCUCCUGUGGCGCCA
rnacentral:rRNA from 1 species